GAUGAACGCUGGCGGCGUGCUUAACACAUGCAAGUCGAACGGAUGCUGCAAAGUAUCAGUGGCGCACGGGUGAGGAACACGUAGCUGAUCUGCCCUCAAGCGCGGGAUAACGCCCCGAAAGGGGUGCUAAUACCGCAUAAGCUCCCGCUUUUUAGAAAAGUGAGAGAAAAGGCGUAAGUCACUUGAGGAGGAGGCUGCGGCCCAUCAGGUAGUUGGUGAGGUAACGGCUCACCAAGCCGACGACGGGUAGGGGACCUGAGAGGGUGAUCCCCCACACUGGGACUGAGACACGGCCCAGACUCCUACGGGAGGCA
rnacentral:rRNA from 1 species